rnacentral:rRNA from 1 species
UACGUAGGGGGCGAGCGUUGUCCGGAAUUACUGGGCGUAAAGCGCAUGUAGGCGGGCGACUAAGUCAGGGGUGAAAACCGUGGGCUCAACCUACGGCUUGCCCUUGAUACUGGUCGUCUUGAGUACAGGAGAGGGAAGCGGAAUUCCCGGUGUAGCGGUGGAAUGCGUAGAUAUCAGGAGGAACACCGGAGGCGAAAGCGGCUAUCUGGCGCACACCUGACGCUGAGGCACGAAAGCUAGGGGAGCAAACAGG